rnacentral:rRNA from 1 species
GAUGAACGCUGGCGGCGUGCUUAAUACAUGCAAGUCGAGCGAACGGACGAGAAGUUUGCUGCUCUGAUGUUAGCGGCGGACGGGUGAGUAACACGUGGACAACCCACCUAUAAGACUGGGAUAACUUCGGGAAACCGGAGCUAAUACCGGAUGAUAUUUUGAACCGCAUGGUUCAAAAGUGAAAGACGGUCUUGGUGUCACUUAUAGAUGGAUCCGCGCUGCAUUAGGUAGUUGGUAAGGUAAUGGCUUACCAAGGCAACGAUGCGUAGACGAACUGAGAGGGUGGUCGGCGGCACGGGAACUGGGACAGCGUCCAGACGCCUGCGGGACGCAGCAGUCGCCUAUGGUCGGCAGUAGUGGAGAAUCUUGCACAGCGGGGCCGCGCGUGAUGUGGCGAUCCUGCGAUCGGGAUGCUGGGCUACGGGGGGAGAACCUCUGUGUAAGGAGCCGAACAGAUCGUGACGGUACCUAGUCAAGAAGCACCGGCUAACUACGUG